rnacentral:hammerhead_ribozyme from 1 species
AUUCAGCUGACGAGUUUCAAAUAGAACGAAAUGCGCGUCCUGGAU